UACGGGGGGAGCAAGCGUUGUUCGGAUUUACUGGGCGUAAAGGGCGCGUAGGCGGUCAGUGCAAGUCAGUUGUGAAAUCUCCGAGCUUAACUCGGAAAGGUCAACUGAUACUGCUCGACUAGAGUGCGGAAGGGGCAACUGGAAUUCUUGGUGUAGCGGUGAAAUGCGUAGAUAUCGGGAGGAACACCGGUGGCGAAGGCGGUUCUCUGGGCCUGUACUGACGCUGAGGAGCGAAAGCGUGGGGAGCGAACAGG
rnacentral:rRNA from 1 species